AUGUGCUUUAGUUUGUUUGAUACAGGUUCAAUGGCUCCAGAUAGAGAUGCUCCACCUGAAAACCCACCUGAAAACUCACAAGAAAACUCACAAGAAAGAGUUGCUUCGGAUACAAAUGCUCCACCUGAUACUGAAGCAAAAGAGGUUCAUGAAAGAAAUCCUUCAGGCGAAUCAAUUAGAGAUUCCGCUCACGUACCUUGA